AAGCGCUCAUGACCAGACUUGGGCUUGGUUGAUCAUCCAGGGUUCUCCCUGGUGCACUCUUCCAGCCCAGGCCAGCAUCAGUUCGCUGUGGGGGAUAAAGGCUUUGGGAAUGUGGCUCCUCCGGGAGUGUUAUAGCCCAUUGUGUAAUACCCUGUGGUGGACUGAGGUUCGCGCAUCUGCAAGGAUGCUGGCGUAAUGGUCAUCAGCGA
rnacentral:rRNA from 1 species